GGAAUCUUGCGCAAUGGGCGAAAGCCUGACGCAGCAACGCCGCGUGCGGGAAGAAGGCUUUCGGGCUGUAAACCGCUUUCAGCAGGAACGAAGAUGACGGUACCUGCAGAAGAAGGAGCGGCCAACUAUGUGCCAGCAGCCGCGGUGAUACAUAGGCUUCAAGCGUUGUCCGGAUUUAUUGGGCGUAAAGAGUUCGUAGGCGGUCAAGUAAGUCGGGUGUGAAAAUUCUGGGCUCAACCCAGAGACGCCACCCGAUACUGCUUAACUUGAGUUCGAUAGGGGAGUGGGGAAUUCCUAGUGUAGCGGUGAAAUGCGCAGAUAUUAGGAGGAACACCGGUGGCGAAGGCGCCACUCUGGAUCGAUACUGACGCUGAGGAACGAAAGCAUGGGUAGCAAACAGGAUUAGAUACCCUGGUAGUCCAUGCCGUAAACGGUGGGCACUAGGUGUGGGAUUCUAUUAACGAAUUCCGCGCCGUCGCUAACGCAUUAAGUGCCCCGCCUGGGGAGUACGGUCGCAAGACUAAAACUCAAAUGAAUUGACGG
rnacentral:rRNA from 1 species